rnacentral:rRNA from 1 species
UGUAAGCGUAUACCAAAGUUGUUGCAGUUAAAACGCUCGUAGUCGGAAUUUGGCAGUUCCGGAUGUGUGCACGUCGUGUGCGCACUUCGCGGGGAUUGCUUUUGUGGUCUUGCGUAGGAUGAGGCACUUUUAUUAGUGAACGUCCUCACGCAACCACUUUUUACUGUGGGAAAAUCAGAGUGCUCAAAGCAGGCAUUUGCCGUGAAUGUAUUAGCAUGGAAUAAUAGAAUAGGACUUAGUCUUAUUUUGUUGGUUUGUUAGGACCGAGUAAUGAUUAAGAGGGACAGUUGGGGGCAUUUGUAUUUCGGCGCUAGAGGUGAAAUUCUUAGAUUGCCGAAAGACAAACUGCUGCGAAAGCGUCUGCCAAGGAUGUUUUCAUUGA